GGGCAAGUCAUUCGCCUUCUCCGCAGCCCGGUUUCCUCAUCUGUAAAACGGAUGGAGUUGAGUUGUCCAGGACUUGGGCAUGGAGGUUGGACCUUCUGUAUUCUAACAAGAUUCUAAUCUAGGGGAUUCAAGCAUGAGUCGCUGCAGUUUGAGGAACCCUGAUCUCUGCCAGACUGCUCAAAGAGCCAGACUUCACACUGAGCAGCUGCAGUCGGGGAAAUCAGAGAAAGCGCCAUCCAGCCCCAGAUUCCGAGGGGCCUGCUGGGGACUCUCCUCUUCCUCUGGAGGGAAGACCCCGAGGCUGCUGGCUGGCACCAGCUCCUGGGCUGUAUGGGACUGGCAGCCGUUGCC
rnacentral:lncRNA from 1 species